rnacentral:rRNA from 1 species
GAUGAACGCUGGCGGCGUGCCUAAUACAUGCAAGUCGAGCGAACAGACGAGGAGCUUGCUCCUCUGACGUUAGCGGCGGACGGGUGAGUAACACGUGGAUAACCUACCUAUAAGACUGGGAUAACUUCGGGAAACCGGAGCUAAUACCGGAUAAUAUAUUGAACCGCAUGGUUCAAUAGUGAAAGACGGUUUUGCUGUCACUUAUAGAUGGAUCCGCGCCGCAUUAGCUAGUUGGUAAGGUAACGGCUUACCAAGGCAACGAUGCGUAGCCGACCUGAGAGGGUGAUCGGCCACACUGGAACUGAGACACGGUCCAGACGCCUACGGGAGGCAGCAGUAGGGAAUCUGCCGCAAUGGGCGAAAGCCUGACGGAGCAGCGCCGCGUGAGUGAUGAAGGUCUUCGGAUCGUAAAACUCUGUUAUUAGGGAAGAACAAAUGUGUAAGUAACUAUGCACGUCUUGACGGUACCUAAUCAGAAAGCCACGGCUAACUACGUG